GGACAUGAACGGAGAACUAGUCAAAGAGAGUGAAAUUGACUUACAACAAUGGCUUAGUGGCGGACUGGUGAGUAAUGUAUAAGUAACCUGCCUAUCAGAGGGGAACAACAGUUGGAAACGACUGCUAAUACCGCAUAUGCCAUAAGGAAGACAUCUUCCAAGUGGGAAAGGAGCAAUCCGCUGAUAGAUGGACUUAUAUCUGAUUAGCUAGUUGGUGUGGUAACGGCAUACCAAGGCGACGAUCAGUAGCCGGACUGAGAGGUUAAACGGCCACAUUGGGACUGAGAUACGGCCCAGACUCCUACGGGAGGCAGCAGUCGGGAAUAUUGCGCAAUGGAGGAAACUCUUGACGCAGUGACGCCGCGUGCAGGAAGAAGGUUUUCGGAUUGUAAACUGCUUUAGACAGGGAAGAAAAAGGACAGUACCUGUAGAAUAAGCUCCGGCUAACUACGUGCCAGCCGCAGC
rnacentral:rRNA from 1 species